rnacentral:rRNA from 1 species
AGUGAACGCUGGCGGUAGGCCUAACACAUGCAAGUCGAACGGCAGCACAGUAAGAGCUUGCGCUUACGGGUGGCGAGUGGCGGACGGGUGAGGAAUACAUCGGAAUCUACUUUUUCGUGGGGGAUAACGUAGGGAAAGUUACGCUAAUACCGCAUACGCCCUACGGGUGAAAGCAGGGGAUCUUCGGACCUUGCGCGAUUGAAUGAGGCGAUGUCGGAUUAGCUAGUUGGCGGGGUAAAGGCCCACCAAGGCGACGAUCCGUAGCUGGUCUGAGAGGAUGAUCAGCCACACUGGAACUGAGACACGGUCCAGACUCCUACGGGAGGCAGCAGUGGGGAAUAUUGGACAAUGGGCGCAAGCCUGAUCCAGCCAUACCGCGUGGGUGAAGAAGGCCUUCGGGUUGUAAAGCCCUUUUGUUGGGAAAGAAAAGCAGCAGGUUAAUACCCCGCUGUUCUGACGGUACCCAAAGAAUAAGCACCGGCUAACUUCGUG